CCUACGGGAGGCAGCAGUGGGGAAUCUUGCACAAUGGGGGAAACCCUGAUGCAGCGACGCCGCGUGAGCGAUGAAGCCCUUCGGGGUGUAAAGCUCUUUCGUCAGGGAAGAUAAUGACGGUACCUGGAGAAGCAGCUGCGGCUAACUACGUGCCAGCAGCCGCGGUAAUACGUAGGCAGCAAGCGUUGUUCGGAGUUACUGGGCGUAAAGGGUGUGUAGGCGGUUCUUUAAGUUUGGUGUGAAAUCUCCCGGCUCAACUGGGAGGGUGCGCCGAAUACUGAGGGACUCGAGUGCGGGAGAGGAAAGUGGAAUUCCUGGUGUAGCGGUGAAAUGCGUAGAUAUCAGGAGGAACACCGGUGGUGUAGACGGCUUUCUGGACCGUAACUGACGCUGAGACACGAAAGCGUGGGUAGCAAACAGGAUUAGAUACCCUAGUAGUC
rnacentral:rRNA from 1 species